UGGUAGAGGGCCCCCUCCACUGGCUUGUUGUAGAUCUGAAAUCAAAGUCUGGUCUGUAUGAGGUAGAUCUGUGAUCACAGAGGUCCCAGAAACACACCCUCUCAGAGCAGGUCCGUUGUCCUCAUAGGUAGAGGGUCUUUCAAACACAAAAGAGAUUAACUCCAACCUCCACUUUGCACUGUAUAAAAAAUUAACUCAAAGUGGGUUAUGAACCAACCAGGUAUGGUGGCACAGCUCUUUAUCACAGUACUCAGGAGGCAGGAGAAGAUGGCUGUCUAGGCCAGCCUGGUCUACAGAGGGAAUUCUUAGGUAGCCAAGACUACAUACACAGACCCUAUUUCAAGAAUGUUUUUAAAAAAGAUCAUAAAUGGGGUUGGGGAAUUAGCUCAGUAGUAGAGCGCUUGCCUAGGAAGCGCAAGACCCUGGGUUCGGUCCCCAGCUCCGAAAAAAAGAACCAAAAAAAAAAAAAAAAA
rnacentral:lncRNA from 1 species